GGGCCCACUUUGGUAGCACACACACUAAAAGUAGAAUCCUACAAAGUAGCAUGGCCUUUGUGCAAGGAUGAUAUACAAAUUUAUGAAGCAUUACAUAUUUGU
ensembl:snRNA U6 U6 spliceosomal RNA